UAAGUUUUAAAAAGACAUACUCAUAUAAUAGCAAGAAUAAGGCUUGCGAGUUUCUACCAAACUACCGUAAAUAGUUUGACUAUGAGUGAAUAAAGAUGAACC
rfam:Bacillus alcalophilus ATCC 27647 = CGMCC 1.3604 strain AV1934 contig00037, whole genome shotgun sequence.